rnacentral:rRNA from 1 species
CCUACGGGAGGCAGCAGUGAGGAAUAUUGGUCAAUGGCCGGAAGGCUGAACCAGCCAUGCCGCGUGAAGGUCAGUGCCCUAUGGGCGUUAAACUUCUUUUGUGCGGGAGCAAUAAUGGUCACGUGUGGCCAGACGAGAGUACCGUACGAAUAAGCAUCGGCUAACUCCGUGCCAGCAGCCGCGGUAAUACGGGGGGUGCGAGGGUUAUCCGGGUUUAUGGGGUUAAAGGGGUGCGCAGGCGGAUUUUUAAGUCAGCGGGCAAAGCGUGGGGGCCAACCCCAUCCAGCCGUUGAAACUGGGGAUCUAGAGUGUGCGAGAGGUAGGCGGAAUGCGUGGUGUAGCGGUGAAAUGCAUAGAUAUCACGCAGAACACCGAUUGCGAAGGCAGCAUACCGGUGCACAACUGACGCUCAGGCACGAAAGCGUGGGUAUCGAACAGGAUUAGAUACCCGGGUAGUC